rfam:Eubacterium sp. An11 An11_contig_5, whole genome shotgun sequence.
AACGGUCUUCAGGGCGGGGUGCAAGUCCCCACCGGCGGUAAUCACAGAGCAGCACCAUGUGCGGUGUCUGUGCGAGCCCGCGAGCCGAAAGGCAGGAUUCCGGUGAGAUUCCGGAGCCGACGGUAUAGUCCGGAUGGUAGAAGAUGUUU